rnacentral:lncRNA from 1 species
UUACAUCAGAGAAUCCACCGCCACCACAACUUGGGGUGGAAGAUUAAUCGUAUUGAUGGGAUGACUGCCAUGGAAGCUCAGACCAGAUAGCUUCUGAAGAAUGAUGCAGUCUCCUUACAGCUCUAGUUUCUGCACGAUUGUAGGAAUUAUGCAUGAUAGUUCAAACAAGGAGACACUGGGAUGCACAAGGGAGGUUCUUUGGCGAGACUCUUACGGAGAAUUCAAGACCCUCUUUGGGCUUCCAAAAUUAUAUAUGCAAACCAAAAAUCAAUCAUGACAGAGUACAGCUUUAGAAGUAUAAAGUAUAUAAAUCAAUAUUUUUUAUUUCUCCGAAUUGUGAGAAAACUAGAAGUACUUGAAGAGCAUUUGCUUCCUUCAAACUGGUCAGUUGUAAAAUACAUCACGAACAAUGAUUGCAAAGAGAAAAAUCCCAAGAAAUUACCUUAUUAGCAAACAGUAGUCAACUCUUUAUUACCUGUUGUACCAACAUUUUGUCUACCAUCAUCAAUUCCAAGGUACAAACACUUGCCGU